rnacentral:rRNA from 1 species
GAUGAACGCUGGCGGCGUGCCUAAUACAUGCCAGUCGAGCGAACGGACGAGAAGCUUGCUUCUCUGAUGUUAGCGGCGGACGGGUGAGUAACACGUGGAUAACCUACCUAUAAGACUGGGAUAACUUCGGGAAACCGGAGCUAAUACCGGAUAAUAUUUUGAACCGCAUGGUUCAAAAGUGAAAGACGGUCUUGCUGUCACUUAUAGAUGGAUCCGCGCUGCAUUAGCUAGUUGGUAAGGUAACGGCUUACCAAGGCAACGAUGCAUAGCCGACCUGAGAGGGGGACCGGCCAAACUGGAACUGAGACACGGUCCAACCCCCAAGGGGAGGGAGAGGUAGGGAAUCUUCCGAAAGGGGGGAAAGCCUGACGGAGCAACGCCGCGUGAGUGAUGAAGGUUUUCGGAUCGUAAAACCCUGUUAUUAGGGAAGAAAAAAUGUGUAAGUAACGGUGCACAUCUGGACGGUACCAAAGCAAAAAGCCACGGCAAACUACGG